UGCGUCGAUAGUAUAUUAUACGAGGAGACGAUAUAUUCCAUCGUUCACGCCUACGUGAUGUCAUGUGCACGUCAGAAAUGCCGACCUUGCGGCUGCGGCUCAAGUCAGUGCACGCGUAAUGCGAUGCAUUUGUAUUGACCAAGCCUUUCGGCCGAUCCCACCAUUGCUUUGCGCUGAUAAGCAUACCUACGCUAUGCACAACUUAUAUGCAUGACCGAGCAUACGCGUGGUAUAUAGGGAAUUCAAGAUAACUCAUGAAAUUCCAAAAGAUGAAUAGUUCUACAAGCCUUAGUAAUGAUUGUGACUGAAAAAGGAUAUUUAGGUCAUUGGUAAAUGACCAUAUAUUUCAGACCAAUCAAUGAAUCAAGUUUAUAAAGGAAGAAAAAAAAGA